rnacentral:rRNA from 1 species
UACAGAGGGUGCGAGCGUUAAUCGGAAUUACUGGGCGUAAAGCGUGCGCAGAUGGUCAUGUAAGUCGGGUGUGAAAGCCCCGGGCUCAACCUGGGAAUUGACAUUCGAGACUGCAUGGCUAGGGUGCGGAAGAGGGAAGCGGAAUUUCCGGUGUAGCGGUGAAAUGCGUAGAUAUCGGAAGGAACACCAGUGGCGAAAGCGGCUUCCUGGUCCAGCACCGACAUUC